GGCCAUCAGGCAGUUGGCGGGGUAAUGGCCCACCAAACCUAAGACGGGUAGCUGGUCUGUGAGGAUGAUCAGCCACACUGGAACUGAGACACGGUCCAGACUCCUACGGGAGGCAGCAGUGGGGAAUCUUGCGCAAUGGACGAAAGUCUGACGCAGCGACGCCGCGUGGGUGAUGAAGGCCUUCGGGUUGUAAAGCCCCGUGGGGCGGGACGAAUUAGUAGAAGCUAAUACCUUCUAUGAUGACGGUAUCGCCUUAGCAAGCACCGGCUAACUCUGUGCCAGCAGCCGCGGUAAGACAGAGGGUGCAAACGUUGUUCGGAAUUACUGGGCGUAAAGCGUGUGUAGGCGGCCAUGCAAGUCGGAUGUGAAAGCCCCAGGCUCAACCUGGGAAGUGCACCCGAUACUGCAUGGCUAGAGUAUCGGAGAGGUUGGUGGAAUUCUCGGUGUAGAGGUGAAAUUCGUAGAUAUCGAGAGGAACACCGGCGGCGAAUGCGGCCAACUGGACGAAUACUGACGCUGAGGCACGAAAGCGUGGGGAGCA
rnacentral:rRNA from 1 species